ACUAUGAAAAAUCGAAGACUCCAAAAGACGUGUCCCAGCCUCCUAAUAAAAAAAUAUGUUGGUGAAGUAAGCUGUCAUAUUGUCAAAAUUGACAACGACAAUUGAGCUAAGGAACAAGGAUUAGAACCAGUUAUUAUGUGGUAUUAUUUUUGUGCUCACAAGAUAAACUUAGCCUAAGAACAAUAAAACAGUAUUUUGAAAUUGCAGGCCGAUACUGUACUAAUUUUGAUCGAGCGGCAUCCCAAAAUAUUGGGAAUCAGUUAACCCAAGAAAAAAAUCAGUAUUUGUUAUUUUUCGACUUGCUGUGUCGUGCUUGUUUUGAUAAUGAUACCAUUGGUCAUCGCUAUUAUGUUUGGAAUGUACGCUUAUGAUUAUUUGACUACGCCACAGGCUUGAAAUAAAGACAUGCUUAAGUACUUUAUAGAUAGCUAUCUGGAAAGUUAUGAAGAAUAUCCAAGUUAAUUCAUCAAAAGAGUCCUACACAUUUUUUGGAUCUGAUUUUUAUGUUGUGACUUAAGGACUACAUCGGCCUGACUGAAAUCACCGAUCUUCCUGAUGGCUUCUUAGCAUCAAGGCUGAAGACUUUUCUGAUCAUUUUACUAUGGAUUCAUAAGGUCGGCAG